rnacentral:misc_RNA from 1 species
CCGGUGCCCAUUCAAAACCCUAACUCAAGAAACCCCCAAACCCCAGAGACAAAUGGGUCGUGUGAUCCGUGCUCAGCGUAAGGGUGCAGGCUCCGUCUUCAAGUCCCACACCCACCACAGGAAAGGCCCUGCGAGAUUCCGCUCUCUCGACUUCGGCGAACGCAAUGGGUACCUGAAGGGUGUGGUCACAGACGUUAUCCACGAUCCAGGUCGAGGCGCUCCGCUUGCCCGGAUCACAUUUCGUCACCCAUUCCGCUACAAGCACCAGAAGGAGCU